rnacentral:tRNA from 1 species
GCGCCCGUAGCUCAGUGGAUUAGAGUACUUGGCUACGAACCAAGCGGUCGGAGGUUCGAGUCCUUCCGGGCGCGCCA